GUGGGGAAUUUUGGACAAUGGGGGCAACCCUGAUCCAGCAAUGCCGCGUGAGUGAAGAAGGCCUUCGGGUUGUAAAGCUCUUUUGUCAGGGAAGAAACGGUGUGGGCUAAUAUCCUGCACUAAUGACGGUACCUGAAGAAUAAGCACCGGCUAACUACGUGCCAGCAGCCGCGGUAAUACGUAGGGUGCAAGCGUUAAUCGGAAUUACUGGGCGUAAAGCGUGCGCAGGCGGUUUUGUAAGUCUGUCGUGAAAUCCCCGGGCUCAACCUGGGAAUUGCGAUGGAGACUGCAAGGCUAGAAUCUGGCAGAGGGGGGUAGAAUUCCACGUGUAGCAGUGAAAUGCGUAGAGAUGUGGAGGAACACCGAUGGCGAAGGCAGCCCCCUGGGUCAAGAUUGACGCUCAUGCACGAAAGCGUGGGGAGCAAACAGGAUUAGAUACCCGGGUAGUCC
rnacentral:rRNA from 1 species